CUACGGGACGCACCAGUGGGGAAUAUUGGACAAUGGGGGAAACCCUGAUCCAGCAAUGCCGCGUGUGUGAAGAAGGCCUGCGGGUUGUAAAGCACUUUCGGUUGGGAGGACUGCUUCUAGCACUAAUAUUGUUGGAAGUUGACGUUACCUUCAGAAGAAGCACCGGCUAACUCCGUGCCAGCAGCCGCGGUAAUACGGAGGGUGCACGCGUUAAUCGGAAUUACUGGGCGUAAAGCGCGCGUAGGCGGCUAGAUCAGUCGGGUGUGAAAGCCCCGGGCUUAACCUGGGAACUGCAUCCGAUACUGUCGAGCUUGAGUACAGGAGGGGAGAGUGGAAUUCCACAUGUAGCGGUGAAAUGCGUAGAUAUGUGGAGGAACACCAAUGGCGAAGGCAGCUCUCUGGCCUGAUACUGACGCUGAGGUGCGAAAGCGUGGGGAGCAAACAGGAUUAGAUACCCCAGUAGUC
rnacentral:rRNA from 1 species